GCGCGAGUGGUGAAACCCGGUAUACACGCAGGCUUGAGGUGCCUGUGCCCGAAAGGGCGUGGAGGUUCAAUUCCUCUCUCGCGCA
rnacentral:tRNA from 1 species